CCCCAAAGUGGGGAAUAACUGUCCGAAAGGGCAGCUAAUUCCGCAUGUGAUCCGUCAUUCGCUUGGCGGAUGAAAGGCGCAAGUCGCUUUGGGAGGGGCCCGCGGCCGAUCAGCUAGUUGGUGGGGUAACGGCCUACCAAGGCGAUGACCGGUAGCUGGUCUGAGAGGACGAUCAGCCACACUGGCACUGAGACACGGGCCAGACUCCUACGGGAGGCAGCAGGGAGGAAUAUUGGACAAUGGGGGCAACCCUGAUCCAGCGACGCCGCGUGGGCGAUGAAGGUCUUCGGAUCGUAAAGCCCUUUUCUGAGGGAAGAGCAAGGACGGUACCUCAGGAAUAAGUCUCGGCUAACUACGUGCCAGCAGCCGCGGUAAAACGUAGGAGGCUAGCGUUAUCCGGAUUUACUGGGCGUAAAGCGCGUGCAGGCGGUGGUGCAAGUUGGGCGUGAAAUCUCCUGGCUUAACUAGGAGGCGCCGUCCAAUACUGCAGCACUUGAGGGCAGGAGAGGGAAGUGGAAUUUCCGGUGUAGCGGUAAUAUGCGCAGAUAUCGGAAGGAACACCAGUGGCGAAGGCGGCUUCCUGGCCUGCUCCUGACGCUAAGACGCGAAAGCUAGGGGAGCAAACGGGAUUAGAUACCCCGGUAGUCCUAGCUGUAAACGAUGGAUACUAGGUGUUGGUGGUAUUGACCCCACCAGUGCCGAAGCUAACGCGUUAAGU
rnacentral:rRNA from 1 species